rnacentral:rRNA from 1 species
GAACCUGCGGAAGGAUCAUUAAUGAAUUUAGAUUGAACCAUAGGCGAAAGCCAGUGGUUCUUCUUUCAUAUCCAUAACACCUGUGCACUGUUGGAUGCUUGCAUCCACUUUUAAACUAAACAUUAUUGUAACAAAUGUAGUCUUAUUAUAACAUAAUAAAACUUUCAACAACGGAUCUCUUGGCUCUCGCAUCGAUGAAGAACGCAGCGAAAUGCGAUAAGUAAUGUGAAUUGCAGAAUUCAGUGAAUCAUCGAAUCUUUGAACGCACCUUGCGCUCCUUGGUAUUCCGAGGAGCAUGCCUGUUUGAGUGUCAUGAAACCCUCAAACCCAAGUUUUGGAUUUCGAUCCAUGCUUGAGUUUGGAUUUGGAUGUUUGCCGGUGAUGAACCGACUCAUCUUAAAAGUAUUAGCUUGGAUCUGUCUAUAUGACUGGUUUGACUUGGCAUAAUAAGUAUUUUGCUGAGGACAUCUUCGGAUGGCCAGGACCUAGACUAAUGUCUGCUAACUAAACCAUCACUUUAAGUGCAUCUUUGGAUGUUACUCAUUGUGUAACUUUGACAUCUGGCCUCAAAUCAAGUAGGACUACCCGCUGAACUUAAGCAUAUCAAUAAGCGGAGGAAAAGAAACUAACAAGGAUUCCCCUAGUAACGGCGAGUGAAGCGGGAAGAGCUCAAAUUUGAAAUCUGGUGGCCUCAGGUCAUCCGAGUUGU